CCAGUAGUGUAUGCUUCUCCUAAAGACUAAGCCAUGCAUGCCUUCGAAUACGAAGCAGCAAUCUGAAUCUGCGAACGGCUCCGCAUACCAGUUGUAAACCAUAGCGAGCCAGGCCUAGGAUUGCCCGCCUUCGGGUGGUCUUUUCUAGGUCUGGAUACGGAUAACCUUGGUAAUUCUUAGGCUAAUACGAUAAGUUUACCACCUAGCCUACCGGGCAACCGGGAACGUUAGGGGUCGUGCAAAGCUUCUGCUACGCUCGAUUGGGUGAUUCCGUACACGAUCAGACCGCUACACCAAACUCAGGUGGCUCAGCCAGUACCUUCGGGGAACGCUGUGUCAUUUGGGGGCGGCUCUCGCUCGUGCCUCUGACCUAUCAACUGCACAGCAGCUUAUAGGACAUGCUAUGGUUACUACGGGUACAGAGGAUAAGGGUUCGAUCCUGGAGAGUGGGCCUGAGAGAUUGCUCACACUUCUAAGGAAGGCAGCAGGCGCGUAACGUUCCCAAUGCCCAACGGGUGAGGGCGUUAGGGGACAUAUGAAUAUCCGCCUUUAAGUGGGUAAUUCAAAU
rnacentral:rRNA from 1 species